rnacentral:rRNA from 1 species
GCACUUUAAGCAGUGAAGAAGACUCUUCGGUUAAUACCCGGAGACGAUGACAUUAGCUGCAGAAUAAGCACCGGCUAACUCUGUGCCAGCAGCCGCGGUAAUACAGAGGGUGCAAGCGUUAAUCGGAAUUACUGGGCGUAAAGCGAGCGUAGGUGGCUUGAUAAGUCAGAUGUGAAAUCCCCGGGCUUAACCUGGGAACUGCAUCUGAAACUGUCAGACUAGAGUAGGUGAGAGGGAGGUAGAAUUUCAGGUGUAGCGGUGAAAUGCGUAGAGAUCUGAAGGAAUACCGAUGGCGAAGGCAGCCUCCUGGCAUCAUACUGACACUGAGGCUCGAAAGCGUGGGUAGCAAACAGGAUUAGAUACCCUGGUAGUCCACGCCGUAAACGAUGUCUACUAGUCGUUGG